AGGGGCAUGGUUCAAUGGUAGAACAGAGGUCUCCAAAACCUUUGAUGAGGGUUCGAGUCCUUCUGCCCCUGCCA
rnacentral:tRNA from 1 species